UGGAGGAGUUGUAGUGGUCUGAGUGGGCUCUCUGUCUUGACGCAAUCUUGAAAGUGUUCAUUGGUUUCUCUUUAUACCUUCUUUUGAGGAAAAAGAUAAUGGGAAUGAAUUUGAGUUUACUUAUUGAUUUAUUUGUUUGUUUAUUUAUUUAUUUAUUUAUAACUUUACCUCAUUUGGCGUGAAAGAACUGUUCGGUUUAUUCAAUGAACUCUGAGCCCCUACCUGUACCAGGAACAUAGCGCCCAGGGGAUGCAGAUUCAAUCCCUGGUCAAGAAACUAAGAUCCCACAUGCCAUGGGGCAACUAAACUCGCAUGCCGCAAACUACAGAGCCCACGUGCCCCGGAGCCUGCACGUCACAACUAGAGAGAAGCCUGAGCACCAUGUCGAAGAGCCUGCGCACUGCAAUGAAAGAUCCUGCAUGCUGCAACUAAGACCUGACACAGCCAAAAAUAAAUUAAAUAAAUAAAUCUUUAAAAAAAAAAGAAUGAUAGGAGAUGGGAUGGGAGAAGUAAAGGCCAGGCUAAAGAACAUAGAAUUUAUCCUCUGUGAUGGAACCACUGAAUAAUUGAUAGGAGUUUUAUAUUAAUCACUAAAGGAAGAUAAAUUUGAGAGGAGCACGGGGUCUAGUUAGGAGGCUAUCAAAGCAGUGUGGAUAUAAAGUAAGACAUGAAUUUGAGCUGUAGUAGUAAAAGUUGAGAGGAAAUGAUGGAUUUGCAAAAAAAAAAAAAAAAAUAGGCAAAGUCAGCAAGAUUUGGAGACUGGUUAUAGAGGUAAAGGAGAGGAAAGAUAUAAUUCCCAGGUUUCUGGUUUGGUUGCUUGGGUAUAAGUUCCCAAUUGUGCUAUGAAAGAGAGAUUACAAAUAGAGGGAAGGAGUAGAAGAAUUGAGUUUAGCUUGAGGCAUCUUGACUUUGAAGUGCCUGAGGGAUAUUCAAACAUCCUGCCAACAGUUGGAUAUGAGUUUGAAAUUCAUUCAAGAGGUCAAGGCCUCGAGAGAGAGAUCUAGGGGUCAUUAGCGUAUAGAUUAAAUCCAAAGGGGGAAAAUUAAGAAUUCCCCAGAGAUGUUGAGUACAAUAAGAAAUUAAGUGAGAUACUUCAUCUUCUGAGGCAGGCAGCGAGGGGAUGAGGAUAGUUGCAGAUAUAGUUGUUCUUUGAAGUGGUAGGUGAGAAGAGGAAAUUAAGAGUGUUCUAGCUUGAUGACCUCCAUUUUAUGGAGGAAGCAAGAGUUGAGGCUGCUGAGAAAGUGAUACUUAAAGUGAUAAAGCUUUGGAACAGAAACUGAAAGGAAUAGAACUAGGGCAGGCCAAGAUGUACAAGGACCUCAAAGUGUUGGGGGCUUAAGUUUGGGGCCAAUGAAAUUGUAUUGAUGCCCAUAGUGUUCAAUGGCCUGAUUAAGGUAUUAGAGAAGGCAAAUUGCAACAUUGACAUGAAUGAAUAUUUUUUUUAUGGAAUGGAUUACUGCCUUUCUUAUACUGUCGUUACUGUUUAAUAUAUUUCUUUAGGAAAACAUUCUUACUGAGUCAGUGGUUCUGGAUGGAAGAAGGAAAGUUUAGGUAUGAAUGCCAGAAGAUUGUCAUAGGAUUAAAGAGAGUCUUCAAUGAUGACUGCACAUGAGAAUUACCUGGGGUGCUUUUAAAACUACUGAUGCUGGGCUUCCUUGGUGGUGCAGUGGUUAAGAAUCCACCUGCCAAUGCAGGGGACACAGGUUCGAGCCCUGGUCUGGGAAGAUCCCACAUGUUGUGAGCAAUGAAGCCAGUGCACCACAAUUACUGAGCCUGCACUCUAGAGCCCGUGAGCCACAACUACUAAGCCCACGAACCACAAUGACCGAAGCCCACACACCUACAGCCCAUGUUCCACAACAAGAGAAGCCACCUCAAUGAGAAGCCCACACACUGCAACAAAGAGUAGCGCCUGCUCGCCACAACUAGAGAAAGCCUGCAUGCAGCAAUGA